rfam:Cavia porcellus supercont2_3 genomic scaffold, whole genome shotgun sequence.
GGGGAUUUAGCUCAGCGGCAUAAGCACCUGCCUUGCAAGCAGGCAGUCGAGAAUUCAAUCCCCA